AAUGAACGUUGGCGGCAUGGAUUAGGCAUGCAAGUCGGGGGAAUCCCAGCAAUGGGGGAACCGGCGUAAGGGGCAGUAAGGCAUGGGUACCUACCUUGGGGUUCGGGAUAGCCAUCAGAGAUGGUGGGUAAUACCGGAUGACGUCGUGAGACAAAAGAUUUAUCGCCCUUAGAGGGGCCCAUGUGAUAUUAGCUAGUUGGUGGGGUAACGGCCCACCAAGGCGAAGAUGUCUAGCGGGUGUGAGAGCACGACCCGCGCCACUCGCACUGAGACACUGGCGAGACACCUACGGGUGGCUGCAGUCGAGGAUCUUCGGCAAUGAGCGCAAGCUUGACCGAGCGAUGCCGCGUGAGCGAUGAAGGCCUUCGGGUUGUAAAGCUCUUUAGUGGGGGAGAAAAGCCGCAAGGUGUGAUCUAUCCCAAAAAUAAGCACGGGCUAAGUUCGUGCCAGCAGCCGCAGUAA
rnacentral:rRNA from 1 species